GCUAACACUUCUGGGUUCUUGGGCCAUGCAUGUGCAGACAAGCCCUCAGGCAGAAGUACCUAAUGGCCCUGGGAAUGUUAAAGGGCUCUGUGUGACCCACACGCAUGUCUCGUUACAUCAUCCAUGUAUGACUCAGCUAAGUCAUUGCACACAUGCCUGAGCCCCUCAUCUGCAUAUGGCAUAGUCAUGUCAACCCCCUGUGCGCAUGCGCUAGGGAACUUUUAAAAGCUCGGCAGGCUUUUCGAUCCGACACCUGUGGUGGCAGCGCCGCCAGGAUGCAGAUUUUCGUGAAGACCCUUACGGGGAAAACCAUCACCCUCGAGGUUGAACCCUUGGACACUAUAGAAAAUGUCAAGACCAAGAUCCAGGAUAAGGAAGGAAUUCCUCCUGAGCAGCAGAGGCUGAUCUUGCGCUGGCAAGCAGCUGGAAGAUGGCCGUACUUUGUCUGACUACAACAUCCCAAAGGAGUCCACCCUUCAUCUGGUGUUGAGACUUCGCGGUGGUGCUAAGAAAAGGAAGAAGUUUUACACCACUCCCAAGAAGAACAAGCACAAGAGAAAGAAGGUGAAGUUGGCUGUACUGAAGUAAUAUAAGGUGGAUGAAAAUGGCAAAAUUAGUCGUCUUCGUCGAGAGUGUCCUCCUGAUGAAUGUGGUGCUCGAGUUUUCAUGGCUAGCCACUUUGACAGACAUUACUGUGGCAAGUGUUGUCUGACUUACUGUUUCAACAAGCCAGAAGACAAGUAGUUGUGUAUGAAUAAAUA